rnacentral:rRNA from 1 species
CCUACGGGAGGCUGCAGUGGGGAAUAUUGGACAAUGGGCGAAAGCCUGAUCCAGCCAUGCCGCGUGUGUGAAGAAGGCCUUCGGGUUGUAAAGCACUUUCAGUGGGGAAGAAAGCCUUGGGGCUAAUACCCUCGAGGAAGGACAUCACCCACAGAAGAAGCACCGGCUAACUCCGUGCCAGCAGCCGCGGUAAUACGGAGGGUGCGAGCGUUAAUCGGAAUUACUAGGCGUAAAGCGCGCGUAGGCGGUCUGAUAAGCCGGUUGUGAAAGCCCCGGGCUCAACCUGGGAACGGCAUCCGGAACUGUCAGGCUAGAGUGCAGGAGAGGAAGGUAGAAUUCCCGGUGUAGCGGUGAAAUGCGUAGAGAUCGGGAGGAAUACCAGUGGCGAAGGCGGCCUUCUGGACUGACACUGACGCUGAGGUGCGAAAGCGUGGGUAGCAAACAGGAUUAGAUACCCCUGUAGUC